GCGCCGGUAGCUCAGUUGUCAGAGCAGUGGGACGUUACCCCACGGUCCCGGAUUCAAGUCCCGGCUGUUGCU